rnacentral:rRNA from 1 species
AACGAACGCUGGCGGCAUGCCUAACACAUGCAAGUCGAACGAGAUCCUGGCUUCGGCCUGGGUCUAGUGGCGCACGGGUGAGUAGCGCGUGGGAACCUGCCCUUCAGUGGGGGAUAACCGAUGGAAACGUCGGCUAAUACCGCAUACGUCCGGGGCCUGGUCUUAGGAUUGGGCUUUGGGGAAAGAUUUAUCGCUGAAGGAGGGGCCCGCGUCGGAUUAGGUAGUUGGUGGGGUAACGGCCUACCAAGCCNGUGAUCCGUAGCUGGCCUGAGAGGAUGAUCAGCCACACUGGGACUGAGACACGGCCCAGACUCCUACGGGAGGCAGCAGUGGGGAAUAUUGGACAAUGGGCGCAAGCCUGAUCCAGCAAUGCCGCGUGAGUGAUGAAGGCC